rnacentral:rRNA from 1 species
UGUUCGUACGGCGAGUGAAGCGGCAAAAGCUCAAAUUUGAAAUCUGGUACCUUCGGUGCCCGAGUUGUAAUUUGGAGAGGGCAACUUUGGGGCCGUUCCUUGUCUAUGUUCCUUGGAACAGGACGUCAUAGAGGGUGAGAAUCCCGUGUGGCGAGGAGUGCGGUUCUUUGUAAAGUGCCUUCGAAGAGUCGAGUUGUUUGGGAAUGCAGCUCUAAGUGGGUGGUAAAUUCCAUCUAAAGCUAAAUAUUGGCGAGAGACCGAUAGCGAACAAGUACAGUGAUGGAAAGAUGAAAAGAACUUUGAAAAGAGAGUGAAAAAGUACGUGAAAUUGUUGAAAGGGAAGGGCAUUUGAUCAGACAUGGUGUUUUGUGCCCUCUGCUCCUUGUGGGUAGGGGAAUCUCGCAUUUCACUGGGCCAGCAUCAGUUUUGGUGGCAGGAUAAAUCCAUAGGAAUGUAGCUUGCCUCGGUAAGUAUUAUAGCCUGUGGGAAUACUGCCAGCUGGGACUGAGGACUGCGACGUAAGUCAAGGAUGCUGGCAUAAUGGUUAUAUGCCGCCCGUCUUGAACCCCACGAAACCAA